UACGUAGGGUGCGAGCGUUGUCCGGAAUUAUUGGGCGUAAAGAGCUCGUAGGCGGUUCGUCGCGUCGGCUGUGAAAUCCCGAGGCUCAACCUCGGGUCUGCAGUCGAUACGGGCGGACUGGAGUUCGGCAGGGGAGACUGGAAUUCCUGGUGUAGCGGUGAAAUGCGCAGAUAUCAGGAGGAACACCGGUGGCGAAGGCGGGUCUCUGGACAGUUCCUGACACUGAGGCACGAAGGCCAGGGGAGCAAACGGGG
rnacentral:rRNA from 1 species